rnacentral:tRNA from 1 species
GGCGGCAUGGCCAAGUGGUAAGGCGGGGGACUGCAAAUCCUUUAUCCCCAGUUCAAAUCCGGGUGUCGCCUG